AUUGAACGCUGGCGGCAGGCCUAACACAUGCAAGUCGAACGGUAGCACAGAGAGCUUGCUCUCGGGUGACGAGUGGCGGACGGGUGAGUAACGUCUGGGAAACUGCCCGAUGGAGGGGGAUAACUACUGGAAACGGUAGCUAAUACCGCAUAACGUCGCAAGACCAAAGUGGGGGACCUUCGGGCCUCACACCAUCGGAUGUGCCCAGAUGGGAUUAGCUAGUAGGUGGGGUAAUGGCUCACCUAGGCGACGAUCCCUAGCUGGUCUGAGAGGAUGACCAGCCACACUGGAACUGGGACACGGUCCCGACUCCUACGGGAGGCAGCAGUGGGGAAUAUUGCACAAUGGGCGCAAGCCUGAUGCAGCCAUGCCGCGAGUAUGAAGAAGGCCUUCGGGUUGUAAAGUACUUUCAGCGGGGAGGAAGGCGGUGAAGUUAAUAACUUCACCGAUUGACGUUACCCGCAGAAGAAGCACCGGCUAACUCCGUGCCAGCCGCCGCCGUAA
rnacentral:rRNA from 1 species